GCCCUCGUCGUUCAAUGGAUAGGACACAGGAUUGCGGUUCCUGUAAUUGAAGUUCGACUCUUCACGAGGGCA
rfam:Candidatus Yanofskybacteria bacterium RIFCSPHIGHO2_02_FTLL_43_15c rifcsphigho2_02_scaffold_15414, whole genome shotgun sequence.